rnacentral:RNase_P_RNA from 1 species
CAAGCAGGCUGGGCGGUCGCGCUACGCGCGAGGAAAGUCCGCACUCCACAGAGCAGGCUAGUGGGUAACACCCACCCGCCGUGAGGCGAGGCCUAGUGGCACAGAGACCAUGUCCAGGCCAGGCUCCUGGGGGAGCCGGCGCUGGAGUGAAAAGAGCCAAACGCUAGCCGGAGCAAGCCCAAGCCGGGGCGAUGACGCUGCUCGCCGAGCCCCAGGUCGGGCGCAAAGAGGCACGGGGCAACCCGCUGCCCAAGAGAGAUGACCGCCUAAAACAGAAUGCGGCUUACGGGCCUGCUUGGUCU